rnacentral:rRNA from 1 species
AACGUAGGAGACAAACGUUAUCCGGAGUUACUGGGCGUAAAGCGUGCGCAGGCGGUUGUGCAAGACCGAUGUGAAAUCCCCGGGCUUAACCUGGGAAUGGCAUUGGUGACUGCACGGCUAGAGUGUGUCAGAGGGGGGUAGAAUUCCACGUGUAGCAGUGAAAUGCGUAGAUAUGCGGAGGAACACCGAUGGCGAAGGCAAUCCCCUGGGCCUGCACUGACGCUCAUGCACGAAAGCGUGGGGAGCAAACAGG